AGUGAACGCUGGCGGUAGGCCUAACACAUGCAAGUCGAACGGCAGCACAGUAAGAGCUUGCUCUUACGGGUGGCGAGUGGCGGACGGGUGAGGAAUACAUCGGAAUCUACUUUUUCGUGGGGGAUAACGUAGGGAAACUUACGCUAAUACCGCAUACGACCUACGGGUGAAAGCAGGGGAUCUUCGGACCUUGCGCGAUUGAAUGAGCCGAUGUAGGAUUAGCUAGUUGGCGGGGUAACGGCCCACCAAGGCGACGAUCCGUGGCUGGUCUGAGAGGAUGAACAGCCACACUGGAACUGAGACACGGUCCAGACUCCUACGGGAGGCAGCAGUGGGGAAUAUUGGACAAUGGGCGCAAGCCUGAUCCAGCCAUACCGCGUGGGUGAAGAAGGCCUUCGGGUUGUAAAGCCCUUUUGUUGGGAAAGAAAAGCAGCAGGUUAAUACCCCGCUGUUCUGACGGUACCCAAAGAAUAAGCACCGGCUAACUUCGUG
rnacentral:rRNA from 1 species